CACGGGGGGAGCAAGCGUUGUUCGGAAUCACUGGGCGUAAAGCGCGUGUAGGCGGCCAAGUAAGUGGGAUGUGAAAUCCCCCGGCUUACCCGGGGACCUGCAUCUCAUACUGCUUGGCUUGAGUAUGGGAGAGGAUGAGGGAAUUCCUGGUGUAGCGGUGAAAUGCGUAGAUAUCAGGAGGAACACCGGUGGCGAAGGCGCUCAUCUGGCCCAAUACUGACGCUGAGGUGCGAAAGCGUGGGGAGCAAGCAGG
rnacentral:rRNA from 1 species